GCCCGGCAUUAUUUUAUUUUAUUUUUCGAGACAGUCUCACUCUGUCACCAAGACUGGAGUGCAGUGGCAUGAUCUCAGCUCAUUGCAACCUCUGCCUCCCGGGUUCAAGCGAUUCUCCUGACUCAGCCUCCCACGUAGCUGGGAUCACCAGUGUGCAGCGCCACACCUGGCUAUAAACCAUUUUUAAGCGUACAAUUCAGUGAUAUUAAGUAAUUUACAAUGUUGUGAAACCCUCAUCAUGAUCCAUCUCUGGCACAUUUUUAACAUUCCAAAAAGAAACUUGGUACCUAUUAAACAAUAACUCCCCAUUCGCUCCUGUCCUUGGCCCAUGGCAACCGCCAUUGUAUUUUCUGUCCUUCUGAAUUUGACUAUUUUAGGUAGCUCAUAUAAGUGGGAACAUGCAGCAUUUGUCCUUUUCUGUCUGGCGUAUUUCACUUAGCAUAUGUCUUUAAGGUUCAUCCAUAUUGUAGCAUUUGUCAGAAUUUUCCUUCAUUUUUAAGACUGAAUAAUAUUCCGUUGUAAGUAUGUACUACAUUUUGUUUAUCCAUUCAUUUGUUGAUCGACAUUUGGGUUGUUUCCCCUUUUGGCUACUGUAAAUAGUGCUUCUAGGAAGAGAAAACCAAAUUUAAAGGCAUGUCUCCAGUGCUGAGCAUGAUGAUUGAAUAGCAAAUCAUCAUCACCCAUAAUUUGAAGACAUGUGCAGCCCAGAAAUGCAUAGAUUAAAUGAUUCAAGUUUAGAGAAAAUGUGAUGUAUACAGGAAAACUUAGUGGGAUCAUAAUAGCAGUCUUCUUGCUUAGGAAAAUUAUUUGGAACUUAGUAACCAGUUGUUCUCUAGAUUCCAGUAAGAAUCAUGGAUCACACUUCAAAACCCACAGGCUCAUUGAGAGAAAACAACUUAGUAUUAUGUUAACGUACAGACCCCAAAACCUUG
rnacentral:lncRNA from 10 species